rnacentral:tRNA from 1 species
GCCGGUUUGGCUCAGUGGAUAGAGCGUCUGGUUGGCGACCGCUGUUCCAAAGGUUCCCUUAAACCAGCA